UACGUAGGGCGCAAGCGUUAUCCGGAAUUAUUGGGCGUAAAGAGCUCGUAGGCGGUGUGUCACGUCGGCCGUGAAAACCUGGGGCUUAACUCUGGGCGUGCGGUCGAUACGGGCAUCACUAGAGUUCGGCAGGGGGAGACUGGAAUUCCCGGUGUAGCGGUGAAAUGCGUAGAUAUUGGAAAAGAACACCGAUGGCGAAGGCACUCUACUGGGCUAUUACUGACACUCAGAGACGAAAGCUAGGGGAGCAAAUGGG
rnacentral:rRNA from 1 species